rnacentral:rRNA from 1 species
CGCCUCUUGCACAAAACCAAAGAAUAAGAGGUCCCACCUGCCCAGUGACUAUAAGUUCAACGGCCGCGGUAUUUUGACCGUGCAAAGGUAGCACAAUCACUUGUCCUUUAAAUGGGGACCUGUAUGAAUGGUAUAACGAAGGCUAAACUGUCUCCCCUUUAAAGUCAAUGAAAUUGAUCUCCCCGUGCAGAAGCGGGGAUGUUCAGAUAAGACGAGAAGACCCUAUGGAGCUUUAGACACCAGAACAGACCACGUUAAACAAGCCCUCAACACAGAAGAAACUAAAUGGCCAACCUGUUCAAAUGUCUUUGGUUGGGGCGACCGCGUGGCACCACAGAACCCCCGCGUGGAAUAGAAACACAAACCGUUUCUAAGCUCUAGAGCUUCCACUCAAGACCCCAGAACAUCUGACCAAAAAUGACCCGGCCACUCUUACGCCGAACAACGAACCCAGUUACCCUAGGGAUAACAGCGCAAUCCUCUUCCAGAGCCCAUAUCGACAAGAGGGUUUACGACCUCGAUGUUGGAUCAGGGCAUCCUAAUGGUGUAGCCGCUAUUAAGGGUUCGUUUGUUCAACGAUUAAAGCCCU